UACGUAGGGUGCAAGCGUUGUCCGGAAUUAUUGGGCGUAAAGAGCUCGUAGGCGGUUUGUUGCGUCGGCUGUGAAAUCCCGAGGCUCAACCUCGGGUCUGCAGUCGAUACGAGCAAACUAGAGUGUUGCAGGGGAGACUGGAAUUCCUGGUGUAGCGGUGAAAUGCGCAGAUAUCAGGAGGAACACCUGUGGCGGAAAGCGGCUCACUGGACCAUUACUGACGCUGAGGCACGAAAGCUAGGGGAGCAAACAGG
rnacentral:rRNA from 1 species